rnacentral:rRNA from 1 species
GAUGAACGCUGGCGGCGUGCCUAAUACAUGCAAGUCGAGCGAACGGACGAGAAGCUUGCUUCUCUGAUGUUAGCGGCGGACGGGUGAGUAACACGUGGAUAACCUACCUAUAAGACUGGGAUAACUACGGGAAACCGUAGCUAAUACCGGAUAAUAUUUUGAACCGCAUGGUUCAAAAGUGAAAGACGGUCUUGCUGUCACUUAUAGAUGGAUCCGCGCUGCAUUAGCUAGUUGGUAAGGUAACGGCUUACCAAGGCAACGAUGCAUAGCCGACCUGAGAGGGUGAUCGGCCACACUGGAACUGAGACACGGUCCAGACUCCUACGGGAGGCAGCAGUAGGGAAUCUUCCGCAAUGGGCGAAAGCCUGACGGAGCAACGCCGCGUGAGUGAUGAAGGUCUUCGGAUCGUAAAACUCUGUUAUUAGGGAAGAACAUAUGUGUAAGUAACUGUGCACAUCUUGACGGUACCUAAUCAGAAAGCCACGGCUAACUACGUG